AUAUAUAUAUAUUUGAGGGUAUUUUUGUCAUUUAUAAUUUUAUCCAAAGAUAAAUUAACUUGGGAUAACUUAUACCACCAAAUGUGUGGUAUAACUUAUCCUGGGAUUAUUAUUAGUCCCGGGAUAAGUUAUCCCGAGUAUUGCCAAUCAAACAAUGUAUAAAAAAGUUUAUCUCGGGAUUAUUUUUUUAUCCCGUGAUAAUUUACCUUAGUACCUCACACCAAACGACCCCUUAAGGUAUAAUGGGGAAUUUUUUUUUGUCUUGAUAAGUAAAAAAGAUCAAGUAAAAUGAAAUAUUAAAUUAGGAAAUUUAGGACGGGUACAAUGGGACAGAGGGAGUAGCUGUUGGCUGCAGUCCAAGUUCCCAUGAAUCUCAUUAAAUCAGGAGGGGAAAGACCGAGCGAAUUGUUCCCGUCUUUAUGGUGCACUCUUUAUACUACGGGUUGACGAAAAUCUCCCUAAACCAUCACAGUUUUGCAAGUUUUAUACUUGAAUUAUAUCUUGUUUUUAUUACCAUACCAUACUAUAAUUUUUAUAGGUUAAAACUCUCGUUUGAUAACAAAGUGUUUUUUAACACUAGCUUAGAGAAACGUGGGAGGCAAAAUGGUCUUCUCAGGGUGGUCGUUCGGUUCUUCGUUUUAUGAAAAAUUUCGGUUCGGUUCAAUCCUUCGAUUUUCGGUUAUAGAAAUUUGUGCACCGAACAGUGAACAAAUAAGUUUGGUUUGGUUUUUUCAGCCUCCGUCUGAUUUUUCUAAAAUAGUACUUUUCAAUGUAAAUAAGUGAGCGAAUCAGACAUUGAAAUACUUCAACAUGCUGAAGGUAUUCAAACUUUCUUCCACAUUAGGUCGUUUGGGUGGGAACAAGUUAUCAUGUGAUAAUUAAUUUUGAGAUUAGUUAUUCCAUCAUGUAUAUGAGAUAAUUAUUCCAUCACUAAGGUAUAAAUGGUGAGCUUAUUAAUUUUGAAAUUAACUAAUACCUCUAACUAAAUGUAGAAUAAAAUAAUUCUUCAUUUUAUUUCGGGAUUAUGAUAUCUUAUAUGUCGUUCGCUAAGAUAAUUCACAGUAGGACCAAUCUCUUUUCUAAACCAAUCUCGGACACAAACAAAAGAUUGUUGUAAUUAGGGAAAGAAAUGGUCUGCUACAUCUCUUGUAUGUUUCUACAUAGAAAUAUUACAUUAUCGUCCCCGGCGUUACUGCCAGAAACAAUGUUCUUGGCACCUUGCUGCUUGCUGGCUGCUGCGCCUCCUUUUCCUUGGCAGUUCAAAAGAAUUAUACCUGCUGAAAAGACUAGGCCAGGAUGGAGGGCACGGGAGGGAUCGACAAGGCCAGCUCCAAAGCCAAAAGGAGCAGAAGCGUACAAGCUGUAGAGAUCAAAUCCAUGAGCCAUUAUGGGCUCUCCAAGAUUGUCAUAGGUGCUGGCUGUGGUUGAUAUUGCUGAAGCUAUCAUUGAUGGUGUCCAUGAUGGAUUGUAUUGCUUUAUCAGUGCUGCUACGCCAGCAAUAUGAGGUGUUGCCAUGCUUGUACCAGACAUUAGAGCAAAAUUAUGUCCUGCAUGCGUUGCCUGCAAUCUUUUAAAUCUAUACAACAUAGAUAAAUAAAUUGUUGUAAAUCUUACGGAAAAUACUUUCUUCACGAACACUUCUAUGGAAUUCACAUAGUUUGAGGUGUGUCA